rnacentral:rRNA from 1 species
AACCGGAGGAAGGUGGGGAUGACGUCAAAUCAUCAUGCCCCUUAUGAUUUGGGCUACACACGUGCUACAAUGGACAAUACAAAGGGCAGCGAAACCGCGAGGUCAAGCAAAUCCCAUAAAGUUGUUCUCAGUUCGGAUUGUAGUCUGCAACUCGACUACAUGAAGCUGGAAUCGCUAGUAAUCGUAGAUCAGCAUGCUACGGUGAAUACGUUCCCGGGUCUUGUACACACCGCCCGUCACACCACGAGAGUUUGUAACACCCGAAGCCGGUGGAGUAACCUUUUAGGAGCUAGCCGUCGAAGGUGGGACAAAUGAUUGGGGUGAAGUCGUAACAAGGUAGCCGUAUCGGAAGGUGCGGCUGGAUCACCUCCUUU